UACGGAGGGGGCUAGCGUUGUUCGGAAUUACUGGGCGUAAAGCGCACGUAGGCGGCUUUGCAAGUCAGAGGUGAAAGCCCGGGGCUCAACCCCGGAAUUGCCUUUGAGACUGCAUCGCUAGAAUUGUGGAGAGGUAAGUGGAAUUCCGAGUGUAGAGGUGAAAUUCGUAGAUAUUGGGAAGAACACCGGUGGCGAAGGCGGCUCACUGGCCCGAUACUGACGCUGAGGCGCGAAAGCGUGGGGAGCAAACAGG
rnacentral:rRNA from 1 species